rnacentral:rRNA from 1 species
UUAAAUUGAAGAGUUUGAUCAUGGCUCAGAUUGAACGCUGGCGGCAGGCCUAACACAUGCAAGUCGAACGGUAACAGGAAGCAGCUUGCUGCUUCGCUGACGAGUGGCGGACGGGUGAGUAAUGUCUGGGAAACUGCCUGAUGGAGGGGGAUAACUACUGGAAACGGUGGCUAAUACCGCAUAACGUCGCAAGACCAAAGAGGGGGACCUUUGGGCCUCUUGCCAUCAGAUGUGCCCAGAUGGGAUUAGCUUGUUGGUGAGGUAACGGCUCACCAAGGCGACGAUCCCUAGCUGGUCUGAGAGGAUGACCAGCCACACUGGAACUGAGACACGGUCCAGACUCCUACGGGAGGCAGCAGUGGGGAAUAUUGCACAAUGGGCGCAAGCCUGAUGCAGCCAUGCCGCGUGUAUGAAGAAGGCCUUCGGGU